rfam:Schistosoma curassoni strain Dakar, Senegal genome assembly, scaffold: SCTD_scaffold0010017
GGACUUCUGAAGAGUCCCAUAGUAGGACGAAAUGAUCAUCCAGUAU